UUGUACUGUGAAACUGCGAAUGGCUCAUUAAAUCAGUUAUGGUCUAUUUGAUAAUAUCUUACUACAUGGAUACCUGUGGUAAUUCUAGAGCUAAUACAUGCUAAAAACCCCGACUUCAGGAAGGGGUGUAUUUAUUAGAUAAAAAACCAACGCCCUUCGGGGCUCCUUGGUGAAUCAUAAUAACUUAACGAAUCCCAUGGCCUUGCGCCGGGGAGGGUUCAUUCAAAUUUCUGCCCUAUCAACUUCCGAUGGAAGGAUAGUGGCCUACCAUGUUGGCAACG
rnacentral:rRNA from 1 species